AAGACCUUACUUCAUAGGAUCAUUUCUAUAGUAAUCUCUUCACGAGACUCACACACUAGGUGAGACUACACCAGUCGCGUUGAUGAGGCGUGGCGCGGCUUCCUGAGCGUGAGGCGGACGGUGGCCUGAGGCCAUCAGUCCUCGAUGAUCGUUCACCUGGCCCCCUCGGGGACCAGGCGUGGGAUGCUGUCGCUUUCUGAGCGGC